rnacentral:rRNA from 1 species
GGGACACGUGGUAUCCUGUCUGAAUAUGGGGGGACCAUCCUCCAAGGCUAAAUACUCCUGACUGACCGAUAGUGAACCAGUACCGUGAGGGAAAGGCGAAAAGAACCCCGGCGAGGGGAGUGAAAAAGAACCUGAAACCGUGUACGUACAAGCAGUGGGAGCACGCUUAGGCGUGUGACUGCGUACCUUUUGUAUAAUGGGUCAGCGACUUAUAUUCUGUAGCAAGGUUAACCGAAUAGGGGAGCCGAAGGGAAACCGAGUCUUAACUGGGCGUUAAGUUGCAGGGUAUAGACCCGAAACCCGGUGAUCUAGCCAUGGGCAGGUUGAAGGUUGGGUAACACUAACUGGAGGACCGAACCGACUAAUGUUGAAAAAUUAGCGGAUGACUUGUGGCUGGGGGUGAAAGGCCAAUCAAACCGGGAGAUAGCUGGUUCUCCCCGAAAGCUAUUUAGGUAGCGCCUCGUGAAUUCAUCUCCGGGGGUAGAGCACUGUUUCGGCAAGGGGGUCAUCCCGACUUACCAACCCGAUGCAAACUGCGAAUACCGGAGAAUGUUAUCACGGGAGACACACGGCGGGUGCUAACGUCCGUCGUGAAGAGGGAAACAACCCAGACCGCCAGCUAAGGUCCCAAAGUCAUGGUUAAGUGGGAAACGAUGUGGGAAGGCCCAGACAGCCAGGAUGUUGGCUUAGAAGCAGCCAUCAUUUAAAGAAAGCGUAAUAGCUCACUGGUCGAGUCGGCCUGCGCGGAAGAUGUAACGGGGCUAAACCAUGCACCGAAGCUGCGGCAGCGACGCUUAUGCGUUGUUGGGUAGGGGAGCGUUCUGUAAGCCUGUGAAGGUGUACUGUGAGG